rnacentral:rRNA from 1 species
AGGGAAUCUUCCGCAAUGGACGAAAGUCUGACGGAGCAACGCCGCGUGAGUGAUGAAGGUUUUCGGAUCGUAAAGCUCUGUUGCCAGGGAAGAACGUCCUGUAGAGUAACUGCUACAGGAGUGACGGUACCUGAGAAGAAAGCCCCGGCUAACUACGUGCCAGCAGCCGCGGUAAUACGUAGGGGGCAAGCGUUGUCCGGAAUUAUUGGGCGUAAAGCGCGCGCAGGCGGCUGUUUGAGUCUGGUGGUUAAUCCUGGGGCUCAACCCCGGGUCGCACUGGAAACUGGGCAGCUUGAGUGCAGAAGAGGAGAGUGGAAUUCCACGUGUAGCGGUGAAAUGCGUAGAGAUGUGGAGGAACACCAGUGGCGAAGGCGACUCUCUGGGCUGUAACUGACGCUGAGGCGCGAAAGCGUGGGGAGCAAAC